GAUAACACUUUGUUUUCGUGCGGAUCGACGAAACGUGCUUGGUGUGGUGUGGGACGCCUCAUUUUCUUGCUGUUAGCCCUGAAGCCCUGCUUUAGGGAAGCCCUAGGACCGAGUGCUUUGGAAAACGCUUGCCCACGACUGUGCCUUUCCAUUUACAAGAGCGUCCAACAGUGCACGGUACACCUAUUACGUGAAUUCACCAGGAGGGAUGGACUGAGGAAAUAGGUGUCACAAAACAGGCUUUGUCUACAGUACCAGUCCUCUUCAGCUAUUGGG